CCACUGCCUCUUGGCCGCCAGGACUUGCGGUUAUAAAUUCCUCGGCUUAUCUUCAGAUUAAAAAAUAAAGGGAAACUCUUGUUACGGAAAAGAUGGAACAAACUUUAGUUGCAAAACAGGUAUUAGCCCGCUAAAAUCUCUGAAUACAAUAAGGAAAUAUUCUCAACGAUUAUCAUUAUGUCUUUUUUAUUUGCAGAAACCUAAACGAACCGAAACAUCGGACAGUUUUGACUACAGUUUGAAUUAAAAAAACAGAAAAAAAGCAACAAAUUGCAGACGUCCAACCUUUUUCCUGCUCACAUGCUUACAUCUUGUGGCGUCCGAUAAAAAGCCGGUAGCUAAGUAUUGAUGUAGCCGUAGUGGAAUAACUUGGAAACUCAUUAUGUUAUCUUUGAAGAUAACACUGAAAUAAUUUAAGGACAACGGCAGGAACGACGGGUGACCCCGUGUACAAGGUUAUCAAAAACCACUGCGAACACCUGCCUGAUCAAAGAUUGAACGCCGGUACUCUGGUCACUUCAAGUUAGAUUUUUCGACAAGGAAAAUGUGGCCUUCGGUAUUGUUCAAGGACAGUUUCUAGAGAAUGAAGUAAAGGACUCAUGGUAUACCAUUAAGAUGAAUGCCAAGACAGCAGUAACAUCGGUCAAAUAAAUAAAACGUUGAGGAAUUCCAUAGGUGUUGUUUAACAUGUCAUUAUAAUGAUUUAACAAUUUUCAUGGAUCUGAACGAACAUAUAACUGGGAAAUGAAUAUUCUAUUCAGAAGGACAGUGCAGGUUGUUGGAUUUUCAUCGUUGGACUUCAUUACUAACGUCAUUCUUUUCACACGUUUGAGACUGAACACUGAAUGUUUUCCAGUGAGAAAUGUCUCGGCACGUACAAUAAUAAUACGGAGAAAAAAGUAUGAAAACCGUUUUUUACAUGGGCUAUAAUUUCAGUGUUGCAUUAAUGAUUUCUAAAUUGGAUACAUUCAAGAAGUAACAUUGCAGACUUGAUGUUUAUACUUGGCUCUUUUUAUUCUCGUGCCACUUUACAUAUUCGACGUUUAUAAUUUCAAUAUAAUGUUUGUGAUUCGAUUGUGUAUUAAACUUCAAAUAAACUUUAUAGUUGCAUGUUUUGAUUUUUAAAAAUUUAUUCACAGAAAAAUAUCAAUGCAACUGUUUUGUAAAAAUGAAGGUAUUCCAGCUUUAGGAUGCGAUGGAAACAGGAAAUUUUAAAGAAAAAUACUCUAAAAGAGUUACAGUA
rnacentral:lncRNA from 1 species